rnacentral:lncRNA from 1 species
GUGAUUCAUCAUAAAAAUUCUAUUCCGGUUAUUGGUAUUUUUUAUCAAUUCAAUAUAUAGAAACUCAUGUAUAUACCAGGAAACAAUUCAAGUUUUUCGUUACGAAAUGUUCACUUCACCGCUAAUUAACCGUCAACAAAGAAAUAGUGAAACUUUCAAUACUAAGUUCUAAUCAACUCCAAUACCACUCGACUAUAUCUAUGUACUUAUUACAAAUUUUAUCUGAACUUAAUAUGUAAACAAAUUAUUAAUAGAAAGAAUAGAAAUAAUUAUCAAAAGAAAUUUCAGAUGAGGCAGCUUAUUCACAUGUUCAUGCACUAACUCGAUCACAGGUUAAAAGAACCAAACAUUUUGAUAGUAAUAUUAUAAUGAAACUGGUUGACUGAACAGAAAGAUGAAAUCCUCUCAUCCUUCUCCUCUUUUUGAAAGCCCCGGGUUUUUCAUUAUUCUCUCCUCGCCGGAGCAUAAUUUUUCUUCCGGGGACCUACCGUGUUCCAACUUUGGAAUUGUGGAAGAUCAUACAUCAAAGGAUUUUGUUUUCUCCCAAUCCCCCUGCAUUCAAGACACUAAGAGAAGGAGUUCAUCAAACCAAGUGAAAGGAGAAGGACUAAUAUCCAGAGUAAUAACUUCCACAUUUAUGAUCUCAUUCUUUUACAAGUUACUUUAGAGUCUCCAUAAGUACCCCUUCAUUCAAUACUUCAUCUCAUCUACUAAGUGUAGGAUUCAUAAACCCAGAAAGAAAAGGAGGAUUUUAAAAUUCUCUGCCACCCUCGAGCCUCAAAAACGUCAAGAUAUUAAACUCCCAAACCAUUUCCUCUACCAACGACCUCAGGCCCUGCCUCUGCAAUUGAUGAGAUAUUCCCACCUUAUAUAAAUAAGAGGAAGACCAUAAAACACCAACAUAGACAAAGUAAACCCACCAUCAAAAUAAAGCUCUCUUUGCCAAAAAAUUCAUACCUCAAGAAAGUGGAGAUGAACUACCUGCUUUCCCAAGCCGAAAACUGGAGCAUUGGUAAGGAAAACCCCCCAAAUCAAGCUCAAGCCUUCUGGUUCAUCCUCAUAUGGCCCUUUUUUCAUGAUCGGCAAAUGCAUCGGAAGCCAAGUGAUGAAAUACCCAGCGGUUGUAGGAAGUUCCAGGCGAUUCUGGGACGGUCAUGGGCAUUUUGAUGUAAAGUCAGUAAAAGCCUCCGAGCGCCAUUUUUUUCCACUUUCCGGAAUGAGAAACUGAGAACGCAUGCCUGGGAAAAUCAGCCGUAUAUCAUCUCCAACUCCUUGCUGUGUUUGAAGAAAUGGGAUGGAAGGGGUAACCCUGAGAAGAGAAGCUUUAGGGAAAGCCCCCUCUGGAUCAACCUUAUCCUUCAGGGAAAAUUGGUGAUCUCCUGACUCGUUGUGAAGCUCCCAGCAAUGGUGGUGACGGUGCUCAGUCGGGGUUCUUCCGACCAUCUCUCAAAGCCGGUUGCGACUAUAUCAGAUUGAUCGGAGAGUCGAUCAAUUCGUAGAGAAGAAGAAAUGCAGAGGAAGAAAUGCAGAGAAGAAGAUAAGAUUGAGUCUGAAAGUCUGAGUUGAUUCAUUCUGUUGGUUGGGUUUUUAUACCAAACCCAACGGUAACUUCAACAGUAAAAACGAAAUUAUAAACGCGGGUAAAACACGUGUCCACGUUUGAUACAUCAAUAGUUAAAACGCAAACGGAGGAUAAAAC